UACGAAGGGGGCUAGCGUUGCUCGGAAUCACUGGGCGUAAAGCGCACGUAGGCGGCUUGUUAAGUCAGGGGUGAAAUCCUGGAGCUCAACUCCAGAACUGCCUUUGAUACUGGCGAGCUUGAGUUCGGGAGAGGUGAGUGGAACUGCGAGUGUAGAGGUGAAAUUCGUAGAUAUUCGCAAGAACACCAGUGGCGAAGGCGGCAUCCGUGGACCAACACGUGACACUGAGGAGCGAAAGCCAGGGGAGCAAACGGGA
rnacentral:rRNA from 1 species